rnacentral:lncRNA from 10 species
CAGAUAAGACUGAGAGUCAAAGUGAGGACAGGAAGAUAGGAAGGCAGAUGUCAGAGAAAGGAUCAUAAGGUAGUGGAGAAAAGAAAAGAAAAAAAAAGAACAGGUCUUUAAGAGAGGAGACACAACGGGGGAUUGGAGAUAAUGCUGCAGAAAAGCCAAGUACACUCCCAAGGAUAGGAUUUGGCAGGAGCAGCUGCGACAGUGAGCUGGUGGAUCCCUGGCCAGGAGGGAGCACAAUGAUAAAAGAUUCAGGACUGUCAGAAAUGCUGGAUGCUGUAGAAAAGGAUUGGAUGAUGCCUUCUCACUGGCCCCAGGGCUCUUGGAAUUUGUUCUAGAGAAGCACAAAAAGAAGGGAGCAGGUGCUGGGAGCCACAUCUCAAGUUGAAAAGCAUACAGAACAAUUAUUUACUGAGAACUUGUGAAUGCCAAGAGCUGAUCAUGUGUGGCUGGAAUGGUAAGAGGUUGUGUGAGGAAUAUGAUCUAAAUUAGACCUGGUACCAUCCUUUAAGAGACCUUAUGGUAAUAACCAGAGUGAGCAAAAAUGCAGCACUGGGAAUCAAUGCUUAGGAUAGGAUAUGUUGUAGAACACUCCAAACUCUGGGUUACAAAUUAGAAUACUAAAAUCCCUAUUACACAGAUAGUUUGUAUGGCUAUUUAAAGAUAUCAUGCCACACCUCUGCUCAGCAUCAGUGUCCUGCUCUAUUCAUACCUGCAUGAAAAUAAGUUCACUUUAUUUGCCACUGAAUAGGUUUCCAUAAUUAGAAGGGAAUUUUUACUCCUCCCUGCAGGAGGGGAAGAUAUAAACUGAACAAUCCAUGACUGAAGCAGAAAUAACUUCACUAAUGGCUGAAUUUGGGGAGAGAUAAAGAGCAUGUCCAACUCUGUCUCUUCUCUCUCCUCUUUCAAAACUGCUUGUCCAUAGAGAGGGUGAAUUUUUCCAUUCACCCAUUGAUAUAGUCAGUAUAUUUGUCCCCACCCAAAUCUCAUGUUGAAUUGUAAUCCCCAGUGUUGGGGGUGGGGCCUGGUGGGAGCUGAUUAGAUCAUGGUGGCGAAUUUCUCUUGAGUGUUUUACCGUCACCCCCUUGAUGCUGUUCUUGUAAUAGUCCGUUCUCGUGAAAUCUGGUCAUUUAAAUGCACAUGGCACUUCUUUCUCUCUUGCUCCUGCUCUGGCCGUGUGAUGUGCCUGCUCCCACUUCACUUUCUGCAGUGAGCAAAAGCUUCCCGAGGCCUUCCCAGAAGCAGAUGCAAGUGCUAUGCUUCCUAUAUAGCCUGCAGAACCAUGAGCCAAUUAAACCUCUUUUCCUAUAAAUUG